GAUGAACGCUGGCGGCGUGCCUAAUACAUGCAAGUCGAGCGAACAGACGAGGAGCUUGCUCCUCUGACGUUAGCGGCGGACGGGUGAUUAACACGUGGAUAACCUACCUAUAAGACUGGGAUAACUUCGGGAAACCGGAGCUAAUACCGGAUAAUAUAUUGAACCUCAUGGUUCAAUAGUGAAAGACGGUUUUGCUGUCACUUAUAGAUAGAUCCGCGCCGCAUUAGCUAGUUGGUGAGGUAACGGCUUACCAAGGCAACGAUGCUUAUCCGACCUGAGGGGGUGAUCCGACACAUCGGAACCAGGCCACAUCCGACACACCUGCAGUCGACAGCGUUAGGGAAUCUUCCGGGAUGGGCGAAGGCAGUACGGUGCAACGCCGCUCAAGUCAUGAUGGUUCUCGGACCGUAAAGCUCUGUUAUUAGGGAAGAUGAAAUGUGUGAGUACCUAUGCGCGUCUUGACGGUACCUAGUCAGGAAGCCACGGCUAACUACGUG
rnacentral:rRNA from 1 species